rnacentral:lncRNA from 1 species
ACUACUCCAAAUAAAACCAGCAAUGCAAAAACCAACGUACAACUCCAAAAACAGCGCCCUAAUGUCGUUAACUUCGAUCCAACACCGACUUAUAUCGACCCGACGACCCAACGCCAAUAUCAACAACAGCAACACGAUAACGAUAUCAGCACAGCAAUUUCAAACCGAACCAAACCCCAACUUUAUUUGAGUCGACCCGACCUUUAACCCGAUUGUAUUUUUCCCCUUUUCAAUCUUUACGAUCGUCGCGUGCCCCCUCCACAAAGAUUUCUUCAAGAAAUGGCCAAAAGGCUCUAGAAAUGGGUGAGUUGGCUUUCCCAACGUACAAAAUAUGCAAAUUUGGGAGAAAGGGUAUGGAUUCGUACAUACUCGUAUGAAUAUUAUUGGUUUUUAGAGAAUAUGGCUCUUUUCCCAAUUUCUAUUGGCUCACUCAUUUCAAAUUUUGAGAGAAAAGUCCAAAAUCAGGACAAGGUUGAGCAAAAUUUUGUUGAUCCCAAAAAUCCAAAUUAUUUUCAAAAAGAUCUCCCCUGAGAAAUCCCUGGAUUGCCCCCUAAAUACCCUAAUCCCCCCGUUCAAAACUGAAGGGGAGAACCCUCAAUUCUCUCAUAUAAAAAAGAGCUGACUAUCGAGCUGUGGGGGGUUGGAGGGAAAAAUUGCUUUGAGAAAAAAAAUCUGAGAGGUUCGAAAAACUUUUGAAAAGGGAAAAAUAGUUUUGUAGUACAAAUUUUUUUGUUUAAGAGAGGUCGACGACUAGUUGGAGCUUUCGGAGUCAUGGAAAGGUCCUCCAAUGGUAAUCGAGAUUCCGUCAAAGUUCGAGUCCUGUUUUGCUGCCCUAAGAAAGGUAAAUAUACCUUUCCCCCUUUGAUUUUAUCAGUAUAUUUCUUCUUCGUCCCUUUUCUCUGUGGGUUGUGGUUGUUUGAAUGAUGAAAGUGAGGUCUGUUGUAAAGGCUGUGUGGUCUUUUCAAAUGAUGAAAGUGAGUUCUGUUGCAGAGGUUUUUUUAUGAUUAUAAUUAUGGUGAUGUUGUGAUUAUUCGCUGUAGGGGAUCGAAAUGCCAUGAGUUUGAAUGAUGAAGGUGAGGUCUGUAAUAUGGUAGUGAUAAUUUUUUCUUAAGUGUCUAAUUUCUUGGUUCAUGGUUUCAUCUAUGUUUGUUUUGGCUUUUUCAUUAAAAUCUGCGACCUCAUGCUGGUUUGACGUUGUCUAAUUUUUGUUCAUAAGCCCAAAGUUAGAAUCUUUGUAGGAGCAUAAUCAAGAAAAUAGCAUCCUGUUUUGUUCUCAUGUUUAAUAAUAAAAUAGCAUCCUGUUUUCUUUUCCUUGGCUAUGCUUUGUUUUUCUUUGGUCUGUUCCUAAAUUUCUUUUGUUAAGUGGGAAUUUUCUACUUUCUUUUUCCAUUCGUUAUCGUGAUAAGAACUCUCCCUAUGAAUCCCCGAUAAUCGUUGGCUGUCUUUGAUUUGUCUGUCUUUGAUGUUGAAAAAUCCAUAUAGCUUGCAGAUUUUUCUUGAACCUGGUUUGCAUCAUUUUCUUCCCCCAUUUAGAUAACAAUUUCAGGGUCUAAAACUCUUGAAGUCUUGCAAGACCGUGUUUUGGAGAAUGGCUACGUUCGUUUUCAUUUUUUGAUAAUCAUUAUAGACCAAGGGAUAUUUGUACUGGCCGCUUAAUAGUUGUUCGUAUUAACUUAGCUGAUGCUCAUGUAGAUAGUCUUUUCCGAAUUGGCAUGUUGCUUUCCUAGUAGUUUUAUUGUCCUUCUCGACUCAUCUAUUUUUAGAUCACCGUAGGUGCAAUUUUGGAAUUGGCAUGUUCGGGCAUAGUUGCAGAUUCUGCCCUAAUUUUAAUAAAUGUAUUCUACCCAUUUGCUUUGUUGUAGCUAAUUUGAAUGGUUAUUUUGUGUUAAAAUUGAAAUGUUUCUUUGUUCUCUAGUAGCUAAUUGCCUUGAUUUUGAUUGGUUAUCUAAAUAAAGGUUUCGUGUAAUGACAAAAUCAGUAGAGUUACCAUCAUAUUAAGGAAUUACAAAAGCCUUGAUCUUUAAAACUUCAGGAAAAUCCUUAUAGCUAUUUCUAGGUCAAUAACUGUCAAGAUGAAUAAAAGUUAUUCCCUUUUGUUUUCCCUUUCUUUUGGGUUAAUCAGGUAUUAAUUUCCUUCAUUCUUCUUUCUUUGCAUGUACACUUGUUUCGGAGCCUAAAUAGGCUCUUUCCCNNNNNNNNNNNNNNNNNNNNNNNNNNNNNNNNNGCCCACCACAUCUAUCAGGUCAAGCCCAAAAAGAAAUUCAGAGCUGGUUACGUAGCACAUGGAUACAAGAAGAUGGAAGAAAAAGAAUACGGGCUGAAACCCAUUGGCAAAGUAGCUAUAGAAAAUUGAAGGAAAGGUUUCUUUUAAGUCUUGAAUGAAGGAUUGGUGACAUUGACCAACAGAUAGGGUCAAACAUCAUUAGGAAACUUGAUCACGUUAAUUGUGGACUUGAUUAAUAUUUUUAAAACUUUCUAAUCUUUUUAAAAAUACAAAUCAACCCAACCCACACCCCUCUUCAAUCUAAAUCAACCGCUCUCUCCUCUCUCUCGACAACUUCUGUCAACUCUCUCCAAACCAACAUCUUACAAAAUUUCUCCCUUUAACCCCUGACGAAUUCUACCUCCGGUGAUAAAUAGUUGAGCUUCGAGUUCCCCUCUUCAAUUCAAAUCAACCUAUCUCUCAUCCCUCUCUCGACAGCUUCUCUCAACUCUCUCCCAACUAACUAUUUUGCAAAUUUCUCAUUUCAAUCCUCGGCAACUUCAACAUCUGACUAUAAAUAGUUGGGCUUCAAGUUUUUUUUCGACUUCAACCUUCAAUCGACGUGACAACCUUACUCUCUGGCCACAACAACUUCGAAUUCUUCCUCGUUCCUUUUAUUUUUUCACAGGUAAAAAUUUAUGGCCUUUUUAGUUUUGAAGAAAACGAGGAACUUGAGCUAACUUCUCUUAUAGUAUUGUUUAACAAUUUCAAUAUUUGUUGCAUUAAUUUGAAAUGAGGUCUGAAUAAAAUCCUAAUUUUUGGUAUUUCUUCUCUUCUCUUUUCGAAGUGAAUUAUGAUAUUUUGUUGUUUUUUACAUUUUUUUGAAGUUUGAUUUUUAUUAUUUGUGUUUAUAAAAACAAACAACAAUUUAGGUUGAUUUGUUCUGUUCUUGGUAAAAAUGCUGAAAUUGCUAUUUUUUUGUUGAACAAAAUAGUGCUACUGUUUUGGUUUCUUCUGACGGAUUACCCAUCUGGUGUAACAUAUUAACCAUCUGAUAUAAUAGAUUUUAUCAUAUGAUGCAACAGAUCAACCAUCUAAUGCACCAGAGGAACCAUCAGAUUACAAUUUUGAUACAAUAGAUUAAUCAUCUGAUGCAACAGAUUAACUAUCUGAUACAACAGGUUUACCAUAUGUUGCAACAGAUUAAGCAUCAGAUAAAAAGUCUAAUGCAACUAAUUAACCAUCUGGUGCAAUGGAAGAACCAUCAGACUAAUGAUCUGAUGCAAUAGAUUAACCUCCUAUUGGAUUAACUAUCUGAUGCAACAGAUUAAGCAUCAAAUAAAAAAUUUGAUGCAACUAAUUAACCAUCUAGUGCAAUGGAAAAACCAUCAAAUUAAUGAUCUGAUAAAAUAGAUGAACCUCCUGUUGGAUAAAAUCUUAUCAACUCUUCCAACAGAAAAUGUCCAAGAUUUGAUUUUUCCAACUGACCAUUCAUCUGCCAUGAUAGACGACCCUAUGUUGGAAGAAAUUUAAAUAAUAUUGACCUUUGAUAACUGUUCCAACAGAUAACUCAUGUGUUGCAACAAAUAUAUGACCCGUUGCACAGACCAUUCAUCUGUCUCAACAAAUGAGUGAUAUAUUUUGUAUUGUUGCAAUGGAUUACUCACUCGUUGCUACAGGUUAGUUAACUGCUCUGACAGAUCACUCAUAUAUUGCAAUAGAUGUGUGAUCUGUUGCACAAAUUAUUCAGCUUUCUCAACAAAUGAGUUUUAUGUUUUGUAUUGUCGCAACAGAUUACUCAGCCAUUACUAUGAAUUAUUUAACUGUUCUAACAGAUCACUUAUAUGUUGAAACAGAUGUCACAACAGAUGUGUGAUCUGUUGCAUAGAUUAUUUAUCUUUUUCAACAGAUGAGUGAUAUAUUUUAUAUUAUUGCAAUAGAUUACUCAGCCGUUGCUACAGGUUAUUUAACUAUUCCAACAGAUCACUCAUAUGUUACAACAGAUGAUUUUAUGACAGAUAUGUGAUCUGCUGCACAGACCAUUCAUUUUUCUCAACAAAUAAGUGAUUUAUUUUGUAUUGUCGAAAUAGAUUACUCAUCCGUUGUAACAGGUUAUUUAACUGUCCCAAUAUAUCACUCAUAUAUCAUAAUAAUAUGUGAUCUAUUGUACAAACCAUUCAUCUAUCUUAAAAGAUGGGUGAUAUAUUUUAUAUUGUUGCAACAGAUUACUCAUCCGCUGUAAUAAUUUGGUUAUAUGCUGCAACAAAUAUACUACCUGGUGCAACAGAUUGGUGAUCUAUUGCAACUGUUAUUUUACUGUUUUGCUUGUUUGAUUUACUGUUAUUCUUUUUUAAUGAUGCAUUAAUCAACUAUAAUAUAUUUUUUAUGUUCCUGUUAAUUUUAGAUAAUAUGGUUCCCAAAAGAACAAAAACCAAAUCAAGUCCAAGUAAAGGAAAAAGUGAAGCAGCUAGGCUAUAUCCACUACUCUAUGAGCUUGCUUUACAAACAUUAUCUCAAUCGGGAGCAGAAUCUGAUGAACACGGGGAGGAGGAAUAUUUCAAAAGAGAUGGUGCAAAUUCUAAUAACCCUUCCACCAAAGAGUUGGUCAAAGCCUUCAGCAUUGAUCAUUAUCCUAUGAGAAUGCAGUACGAUAGUGCCACAGAUUUAACAAGUGAUUUCGUGGUUAAGUCUGCCAUGGAAAAAUCUUUCGACGCCUUCAUAAAAAUACUCUGAAAACAAAAAUUGGAUGCUUAUUUCAGGGACAGCUGCUUUGGAAAAUAUCUUGAUUUGCCGGAGGACAACAAUGGUCGUUUUCAAAUGAAAAUGGUAUAUGAACUUGUCAAGCGUAGGUUUAUGAUAAAAACAAAGAUAAGAUGGAUGAGGUGUGGAUAAAUUACUGUGGCAUACCUAUUUGUUUUGGUUGGAAGGAGUUUGCCAUAGUUACUAGACUAAAAUGUUGUCCUCCUUCUCAAGUUAUACCUAUUCUAACCCAAAAAAGCACCUCGCAUACCUAAAAAAGGCAAAGGCAAGUCGUGUGAUCAUGAUGACCUGGUGUCCAUUAUUGGUCCAAGCUUCAAAAAUAAAAUUUGAUAUAAGCGUUGAAAGGUAAAGGACUUUCAAAGAAGCAUAAACAGUCAUUGUGCUUGGUUUGGUUUGUACAUAAUGUUCUUUGGGCGAGAGAUGUUAACAACAUAAGCCUCGGCUUAAUAAAGCUCUCCGAGGAUCUUGAGGCAUUUAAUAACUAUCCUUGGGGGUAUGGAAGCUUUAAAAUAACUGUCAAAUAUUUGUUGACUCCGUUAGCGCCAAAGAUAGUCAACUUAUAUGGCUUCCCAUGGGCUUUCAUGGUAAAUGUUUCUUUCUUCUAUUAUGAUAUCAUUCAUUUUUUUCACUCAAUAAUGGUUUUGAUUUAUUGGCGUUAUUUUAUAGGCUUAGGCGUUUGAAGCCAUUCCUUAUUUGAGACAACAAGUGAACUACCAGAAAAAAGUUUCCUGUCCAAGAAUCUUGAGAUGGUUGUCAGCCAAAACUGAUAAAAAUGCAAAAUUUCUUGAUCUCUUCAACCCCUCCGAUGGAUGCAGUAAGUAUAAUUAUAAUUAAUUUUUUCUUUUAAUUAAUGAUUUUUUUGAAUGAUCUAAUCAUCAUUCUAAUAUAUGUAAUGAUUUAUGUUAGAUUAUGUAUCCGUCACUAGUUUCGAUCAAUCAGGAGUUGAAGAUGCCAUUUUUUCUUACUUUACGGUCUGUGCAAACUUUAUCAGACCCUAAGGUCAUCGAUAGAAUAAAAAUAAAAUUAUUUAGAGCGACAACCAUUAUAAAAAAAAUAAUUUUGGAAGGUGGGCUUGUUGUUGUUGAUGGUCUUAGUGGUGAUGGAGCCGUUGGUGGUGGUAGUGGUGCUAUUGUUGGUGCUAAUGAUGCUUCUCUUACAGUAUUUAAAGCAAACCAUUAUAUGUAUGAUUAUACUGGUUAUACAGAUUUUGCCUCUCUCAGUGAAUGUUUUGCAUGCAAAUGUCAAGAUUGCAAGGCGAAACAUGAUGUAGUAAUUAAUCCUAUUAAUGCAAUAACUGCUUUUAUAAAGGAAUUGACAUCUAAGAAGGGUCUCAUUCCAACAAAGAGGAUUUUAUUUCCAUCCGCUCCAUUAGAGAUUAGGGCUAAGAGGAGAAGGAGAGUGAUUUUCAGGGCAUUAUCAAGCAUCCAAAAAAGCGAAAUUGCAACUCCUCUAUCUGUGUGUUGUACUAGAAAAUGUACAAUGUCCAAAGAAGAGCAGCAUGAGCUGAAGAAGGUGAAUAUAUAUGUCUUCGAACUGACAAAACAAAUAGACACAUAUCUGUUUCAACAGAUGGCACAUCUGCUAAAAAUUAUCAAAUAGAUAUAUACAUCUGUUGCAACAGUUGACUAACUUGUUGCACCAGAUAAAGUAUCUGGUGCAACAUGUCUUGUCUGUUUUAGCAAAUCAAACAGCUCUUCAUACCCCUUUUAUUUGUACUAACAUCGACCUAUCUGCUGCAACAUAUAAUUCAUAUAUUGCACCAGAUGGUUCAUUCGUUGGAAAUUAUCAUACAGGGUCUUCCUUAUGUAGAAAUUUAUCCCAACAGUUGAUUCAUUGUUGCAAUAGAAAUAUAAUCUGUUUGGGUCAAUUUAAAAUGGGAGAAAGACUUGUUUGAUUUGCUAGAAGAGAUGAGUUAUCCUUUUCUGUUUUGUUGUAUCUCCGUGAUUAGCAUUGACCAAUUUUGGUUUUCCAAGUGGAUGUAGAAGAAGCUACUGCUGAACAACAUUGACAAUAUGUUACUCUUUUUAUGGAAAUACGGAGAACAGAUGAAUCAAAAUUGCCAAUGAACCAAAUACUCCAUCUGUUGAAACUGAUGAAUCAGCUGUUAGAAGAUAACAAAACAUCUCCUCUAACAUGCUGUCCAUAUGUCGCAACAGAUAAUACAUAAGCCGCAUGAAAUGUCUUAUCUGUUGCAUAUACAAACCAUCUAUUGCAACAAAUGGUAAAUUUAUUUUUACAGACCAUCUAUUGCACAUUCAAUCCAUUUGUUGCAACAACUCAGUAAUAAUGGCUUUUAUCGAGUCUCAAAUUGGUAUGUAAAGGUGAGAAGUAAUUAAUGUAAAAUAAAAAGUCACGACUUUUCACAAAAAAUAAAAUGCCACCAGUUUGAAUGUAAUUAAUACAAUGGAGCUGAACAGUCCUGCCUUUUGGCCUGACACGUCCAGAUUCAAUCCUCUAUAAAUGGUCCCUUCUUAAUUUUCAUUCAACUCUAUUUAUUUCUUGCAUUUUUUUUCGUAUGACAUCUUCAACCACUUCUCUUCAAAGAGCAUAUUCCUUUCUUGUUGAGGUAAGUUUUUUUCUGGUGUAAAUUUCCCAGUUGGUCGUAUACGUUGUAUUAUAUUUUGAAUUUUUUUCUUUAUAUUUGUCAAUUCAUGCGUGUUCUAGAUAUGGCUGAUCCUUUUCCGAACAUUGAUAUUCUACGUGACAUCGUGCGGGAACUUCAGAGGAAGGUUAAUGACCUGUAGAGCGAGUUGGUCGCUGUGAGAGCGACGAUGUUCAGAGAGAUGCAGAGGCUGAUGAGAGCCCUGCUGGUGCGAGUUGAUUGGCCGGCUGUUAUUAAUGAUGAUGAUGAUGAUAAUAAUUAGAAUGUGUUUUUUAUUUUAGCGUAUGUAUUUUAAUUUUUCUAUAUCGGAUCUAUACCUAAUGUAUUUUAUUUUCCGUUUAAUAAAAAAUUUACUUUUAGUCAGACUUUGUCAUUUUAAUUCUUAUUUAAUUUUUAUUCUGUCUGUUUCUUCUAAUCUGAUACAUGUUAGCAUGUCGACGGUUGGAGGCAAUGUUGAAUCCAGU